rnacentral:rRNA from 1 species
UAACGCGUGGGAAUCUGCCCUGGAGUGGGGGAUAACCGAGGGAAACCUCGGCUAAUACCGCAUACGGCCUGAGGGCGAAAGAUUUAUCGCUCUAGGAGGGGCCCGCGUCGGAUUAGCUUGUUGGUGGGGUAACGGCCCACCAAGCCUGUGAUCCGUAGCUGGUCUGAGAGGAUGAUCAGCCACACUGGGACUGAGACACGGCCCAGACUCCUACGGGAGGCAGCAGUGGGGGAUAUUGGACAAUGGGGGCAACCCUGAUCCAGCAAUGCCGGGUUAGUGAUGAAGGCCUUAGGGUUGU